GUUCACGGGCUUCUCCAGAGACUGUCUGAGUGACUAUACUAGUGGCAUAAAAGAUCUCAUCACUCUCACUGCUGGGAAGGACAAGUAUCUGAGGAUCAGCACCACACGAUGCAACAACGCAGAUAACUGUAACUCGGGCACACUGGCAGCACCCAAGGGGAGCACCACCGCGAAUGGGCUGCAGUGCCCAACCUGCUUCGCUCUGAACUCUGAUCCCUGCCACAGCCAAAUCACCCCUUGUACCGGGAACGAGACCUAUUGCGUCAAUUUCGCUGGGUAUCUAGUGAAAGCUCCUUCAUAUGAAGCAACAUUUGUUGCAAAAGGCUGCGCUACUGCAUCUGCACAAAACAUUAAAAGUGUAACCGCCUUGAGUUCUACCAUCUACACGUACGUGUUCACCCAGGCGAUCUCCAAACCUGCAGAGAAAGCCACCAGUGGGGCCAGCCCGGCUCUGGGGAGAUUCUCCUUCACCCUCUACCUGCCUGGCCUGACUGGGCUGCUGCUGGUGAAGCUGCUCUUCUGACCCCCGCCCGGCACGGCCCCACAGCACCUGGAGCCUGCGAAUAAAGGCCUGAAGUCCCAGCUGCACCCCCUCU